ACGAAGGGGGCUAGCGUUGUUCGGAAUUACUGGGCGUAAAGGGCGCGUAGGCGGCCUGUUUAGUCAGAAGUGAAAGCCCCGGGCUCAACCUGGGAACUGCAUUUGAUACUGGCGGGCUUGAGUUCCGGAGAGGAUGGUGGAAUUCCCGGUGUAGCGGUGAAAUGCGUAGAGAUCGGGAGGAACAUCAGUGGCGAAGGCGGCCAUCUGGGACAACACUGACGCUGAAGCACGAAAGCGUGGGGAGCAAACAGGA
rnacentral:rRNA from 1 species